UGCGUAGGUGGUUUCUUAAGUCAGAGGUGAAAGGCUACGGCUCAACCGUAGUAAGCCUUUGAAACUGGGAAACUUGAGUGCAGGAGAGGAGAGUGGAAUUCCUAGUGUAGCGGUGAAAUGCGUAGAUAUUAGGAGGAACACCAGUUGCGAAGGCGGCUUUCUGGACUGUAACUGACGCUGAGGCACGAAAGCGUGGGGAGCAAACA
rnacentral:rRNA from 1 species